UUUACCUAUACAUGUAUAUAAAACAUUUUUAUAUAUAUUUCAUGCUUAGUGUUCAUUCCUGUGUGCUGUGUUUUACACGUUAGUCUUUAAAGGUAAAAAAAAAUAUCUGCACAUCUAAAAUUAGCACCAGAAAGCAGAAGUACAUUUACACACUUAAAUAUCUUUAUUAUCAAAACUGUGUGUUGUCAAACAUACUUCUCUUUAACUAUAAUAAUAUGAUGAAUAAACCUUUUCAGUUGAUUUAAUAUGAAAUUAGGCUUAUACUGUUAGGCUUACACUGUGUGCUUGAAUCAAAAAACAAUACUGUCUUUUAAAACUGUUUGACAGACUGGAGAGAUGACUCAGCAGCUAAGAGCACUGACUGCUCUUCCAAAGGUCCUGAGUUCAAAUCCCAGCAACCACAUGGUAACUUACAAUCAUCUUUAAUGACAUCUGAUGCUCUAUCCUGGUGUGUCCGAAGACAGCUACAGUGUACUUACAUAUAAAAUAAAUAAUAGGGUAUGGGGGACUUUUGGUAUAACAUUGGAAAUGUAAAUGAGCUAAAUACCUAAUAAAAAAUGGGAAAAAAAAUAAAAUAAAUAAAUAAGUAAUAAAUAAAUCUUAAAAAAAAAAAACUGUUUGACUAGAAUUCCAGGAAAUAAAUGGAUCUUAUUUUCUAAAUAUGUUAUUUGAGCUUUUAUCUUACUACAGUAGGUUUAGAAAAUGCCUUAAGCCAAAGUGUGUAAUUAGUUCAUUAUUCAUGUCAAUUUAAAACUAGGUAAAUAGGACCAGAGAGAUGACUCACAGGUUAAAAGUACCUUGCUGCCAAGCCCAGUGACCUGAGUUCAAUCCCCGUGACCCACAUGGUAGGAGCUAACACCUCAUGGUUGCUCUUUGAUCCCACCCCACCCCUGCACACAAGCUCAGACAUACACACAUGCACAAAACACUAACUUUUUAAAGAAGAAAUAAAUUAUAUAGAGAUUUUCUUGGUUUGUAUGUGUGAGCACUCAGGCUGGAGAGAUGGCUCAGUGGUUAAGAAUAUUUGCUGUUUUUGCAGAAGACCUGGGUUUCAUUUCCAGCACCCACAAGGUGGCUCAUAACUAUCCACAACACCCUCUUCUCGACUCCACAGGCACCAUGUAUAUUCUUGCAGGCAAAACACUCAUACAUAUAAAAUAAUACAUCAGGCUGGAGAGAUGGCUCAGUGGUUAAGAGCACUGACUGCUCUUCCAGAGGUCCUGAGUUCAAUUCCCAGCAACCACAUGGUGACUCACAACCAUCUGUAAUGGGGUCUGAUGCCCUCUUGUGUGUCUGAAGAAAGCAAUGGUGGUGUACUCAUAUGCAUAAAAUAUAUAAAUCUUUAAAAAAUACAUCUUUCUUAAAAAUGUAUUUGCUUAUUUUGUUUGUUUGUUUGUUUGUUUGUCUCUUUGUUUUUGCUUUUCAAGACAGGGUUUCUCUGUGUAGCCCUGACUGUCCUGGAACUCACUUUGUAGACCAGGCUGCCCUUGAACUCACACAGAUCUCCCUGCCAGUACCUCACUAGCCCUGGGAUUAAAGGUGUGCACCACCAACACCCUGCUUAAAAUAUGUUUUUAAGUAGCAUUUCAAGUGUUUAAUGGUGUGAAUAUCCACGUCGACAUUCUUAUGCCAGAUUCUUUCCUCCCUUCCUGCCUCUCUCUGCCUCUCUCUCUCUCUGUCUGUCUGUCUGUCUGUCUGUCUGUCUGUCUCCCUCUUUCUUUCUCUCUCUUUCUUUCUUUCUUUCUUUCUUUCUUUCUUUCUUUCUUUCUUUCUUUCUUUCUUUCUUUCUUUCUUUCUUUCUUUCUUUCUUUCUUUCUUUCUUAGUAUUAGAUAGAAAUAGUUGAAGCUAGGGUAAGAGUCCCAUGGUGGGCUUGCCUAGUGUGAGCAAAAUCCCUGUGUUUGCUCUCCAGUGUUACUCACAUGCACAGUGGAUGGGUAGUGUGGAUCUCUCAAUCUGAAUCUAUUACUGCUAUGUGAAUUUUUAAAGAAAUUAAAGCAAAAGGGGGAUGCUGAAGGUAGGAAAAACUACAGCUUCUCCAUUCAUGUAGGGUCCCAGUGUAAAAUUAGUAUUAUAACUCCCAUUCUUUUUUCAUUUAGCACAUUUAUUGAAGACUUAUGCUAGGCCCUUAGAUUAAAGGAAUGAAUACACAGUCCAGUGAUAUCACUAAGUAAUUAUAGCAAAAGUGCCUUCACAGUACACAGCAGUGGAUACUGAUGGAGCAUGGUGGGAGGCAGAGAAACCACAAACCCCAGCAGAGAGACAAGAACUUCCCAGAAGAGCAGAACUCGGAGAAUGAGUAGUCCCAUAAUAAUUAGGGACAGAAGGAAUAGCAGAUCCAGAGAUCUGGAGAUAAAGUAGGAAAAGGAUAAAGAUACUUAUGGUUGAAGGAUGAUGACAGUGCAAAGUUGAGCAAGGUAUGGCAAGAAGUAAUAUAACCAAGGCUAAUAUAACAAGUUUUGUAGACCAUGUAGAGUCUUCCCCUCACUAAAACAAGUGUUGUGGACUGAUUGCAUUUGCAUUUUUUAGAAAAUUCUUUGGCUAUAAGAUACAGAGAUCAUAAGUGUUCUGGAAAUUUUUUUUUAGAUGCAUAAUUUUGUGAGCAGAUACAAAUCUAUAAAUAGGUCAAAAUUACCUCUUUUUUUUUCCUCUCUCAUAUGUAUGUAUACCAAGGGUCAAGCCCAGGACCUUUUACAUGCCAGCAGGCACUCUACCAAUGAGUCAGACUCCAAGCCUCUACUAAUUCUUUGUAUACUGUAUUCAUUUAUUCAGGAGAAUUUAUUUACUCGCUAGUGGCAAUCCUAUUGUCAUAUAUAAACUGAAAGCAGAAAAUGUUACAGGUGAAAUAUUAAGGCCAGGAUUUGAAUCCUGUUCCUUGUACAUCCAAGGAACUACUUUUUAAAAAAGAUUUGCUUUUAUGUGCAUAGUUUGUUUAUGUGCAUAGUUUAAGACCUAUCUCUAAUUGCCAUUAGCUAUAUGUGUAAAAUUUUGCUUGCUGAUCUAAAAAGUGAGGAUAAUGCCAUCCUGUUGGUGAGACUGCUCUCAAGCUCUGAUAUUAUACACCUAGUGCUUCCUACAUUGAGUAAUGUAUGAUAAACAUGAUAAACAUGAGAUAAACAAUGGCUAUUCUUACGUCAAACUUUCUUGUAAGUGUUCCUGAUGUACUGAUAUAUUCUAACACAAAACCAGGCACAAGGUUAGUAAGGGCUGUGAAGGGUGAAAAAGGAAUCUUCAUAAGAGCUAGUCAGAGAUUUCUGUAAAGGGAACAGAAAUAGAGACAACUUCUCGGCCACAGAUUUAGU
rnacentral:lncRNA from 1 species